GGAGGAAUAUUGGUCAAUGGGCGCGAGCCUGAACCAGCCAAGUCGCGUGAAGGAUGAAGGUUCUAUGGAUUGUAAACUUCUUUUAUGGGGGAAUAAAGUGCGGGACGCGUCCCGUUUUGUAUGUACCUCAUGAAUAAGCAUCGGCUAACUCCGUGCCAGCAGCCGCGGUAAUACGGAGGAUGCGAGCGUUAUCCGGAUUCAUUGGGUUUAAAGGGUGCGUAGGUGGCCUUUUAAGUCAGCGGUGAAAGUUUGUGGCUCAACCAUAAAAUUGCCGUUGAAACUGGAGGGCUUGAGUAUGUUUGGGG
rnacentral:rRNA from 1 species